rnacentral:misc_RNA from 1 species
UCCGGUUUAUCACCGGCAGUCUCCACAGAGUCCUCGCCUUUACGCGUUAGUAACUGUGAACAAGGGUUGCGCUCGUUGCGGGACUUAACCCAACAUCUCACGACACGAGCUGACGACAGCCGUGCAGCACCUCUAUACAGACCUCCGAAGAGGGGCUCUCAUCUCUGAGACUUUCCUGUACAGUUCAAACGCUGGUAAGGUUCUGCGCGUUGCUUCGAAUUAAACCACAUGCUCCACCGCUUGUGCAGGCCCCCGUCAAUUUCUUUGAGUUUUAAUCUUGCGACCGUACUCCCCAGGCGGGAAGCUUAAUGCGUUAGCUGCGCCACUGAUAAGCAUGCUUACCAACGGCUAGCUUCCAUCGUUUACGGCGUGGACUAC